UGUGAUUGUCAACAAGCCUCGUCCUUCUCAGGCCAUUAGCACUUUCUUAGAAGGAGGCAGAGGAGUGAUAGCAUCUUCCGAGCACGGGUGGUCACCACAGAGGGGUGGCUCUCCCAAUUCUGGAUUCCCAGACUCCUUUGUUCCCCCUCUCCUACUCAGUCUCUCUAGAAGGAUAGGAGAGAAGUCAUGCUGGCUGAGGGCUGAGGGCUCCUCGUAGGGCUGGGGGGUGCAAAGCCCAUCCUUUAUGAAGUUUCCUGGUUAAUUAAUUAGUGAGUGACCCCCUGUGCUCCCAGCCAACAUGCCACCCCUCUCACCUUUGGCUGUUGAGGUCAAUCUUCUUCCCCAGGCGUGCCUGCCUUAACUCCCCCUGCUGGUAGCAAAUCAGCCUCUGGGUGUGUGGUGUGGAGGGCAGAGCCCAUCUGUACUCACAGGCUGCUGUCCUAGCCCACAGGAAACACGCUGAAGUCUCUGGGUGAAGAUGGAUGAGAAUGCAUCUGUCCUCAAGAUCGGGGACCUCUGGCCAGGAGGGAAACCAGCCCACAGACGGUGCAGACAGUGUUGAGGCCUGGCAUGCUGCCCUUCAGGUCUCUAUCUGGUGAGCUCCUACUGAUUCUUCCAACCCCAGUUCAAACUUCACCUCUUCUUCGGAAGCUUCCCCGAAUCAGACAAGCACAGGAAAUUACUCCUACUACUUUGUCAUACAGUUAGUGUAGUGCUUAUUGUUGUGCAUGGCUGGAGGUCAAGGACCGUAGCUGACCUGCCUUUAUAAUCCUAGAGACCAACAUAAAGCCUGAUCCAAAGCAGGCGCUCAACAGAUAGGUGUGAAGUGGACAGUUGAGCUGUUGCAGUGCCCCCAGAGAACCCCACACAACCCAACCCCAGAAAGACCACUGAGUCCAAUUCCAGUUAAAAAACACAUUGGCAAAACAGAGGUUGACCAUAAUGGAAAAGGACCUGGAAAUUAGGUCCUCUAGGAAAGAAUCUAAGGCACCAGGUGUGUUUGGAUUGGAGAGAAGAACACCUCAUAGACUUUUUUUUAACACUGUGUGAAAAGCUUCAGAGAAGGGAGA